UACUAAUCUGCCUUAGUUUAUUUUACAACAGCAUACUUCUAUUUGCCAUGAAAUAUCUUUAUAGUAAACAAUGAAACUUUUCAUAAUGCUAAGUCCUAAUCAAAAAUCAAUAAUGCAAUAAUUCCCACAUAGUUUGUUUUCCCACAAUACAAAAUCUUGGAGAAGAGCUUAAGGAAUUGCAUAUUUCCAUGUGAAAUACAGCUAUAUUAUACCACUUUGAUGUUUUAUUAUACCAUGUGGCUUUACUUUAUUGAGGAGGAUGAAGAAUAGAUUAGGGAUAGGUAGAUGAGAUGAUGACAUCCAUGUCUGAUUUCCUGUCAGAGAAAAUUAGAUAUAGUUACAUCUGUUUUCAGUCUAAUAUCCUGAUGGACAUUUUCAGCAAGAUUUUUUAGGAAAGAAGCACAGGAAUUCCACUGCAAGGUAUUAAUAGGUACAAAUUUAAGAUUUUGGAAAUGAAUGCAGUAUUAUCCUAUAUAUAUCUUUUUAAAAAGAUAAUGAAGGUAGUGAAUGGCCUUAAUUAUGGCAGAAAAAAAGUUACUAUUUGGUUCCUUAGUUGAAUACGAUCAAUAACCAGCCUAAAAGGGAAACAUUUUGCUCUCCAAACACCCAUCCUGUUGCUUCAUUUAUUAUGGUACUCAGUUGGAAGGGUAUUACCAGAGGAUUUUAAAAAAUUAUGUAACUCACAAUGUAUUUUUUCGGUCAUUAAACAAUCACUGAACACAUACUAUGUGUCAGACACUAAAGCCCUCUGAAGAUGAAAUGUUAUGGAAAUAGUAAUAAUAAAAAAUUAAAAUAGUAACAAUAAAAAAUUAAAAAUGCAAGUGUUAAUAUUAUUAAUCUUUCAAGAUACAGGUCAAAUGACAGCAUUCAAUUUGCUAUUCUCUUCUCUCUGCUUCUACACCUUGUACAAAUAUUUUUGUCCAUGUUUGUGUACCUACCUACUGAGCUCCCUAAAGAGGUAGAGACCUUUGGGUUAUUCAUUUUUGUAUUCCCGAGAGCCUAACAUAGGGUUUUUGCUACAGAUCAAGCAGGGGGUCAGUAAAUGCUAGUUGGAAUGAGGGAAUUAACAUAGUACUGCACCAUUUAGUAUUCAAUUAAGAAGAUAGUUGUCCAAACACUAAAUUUCUUUCUUAAAAGUAGUUACUGUAAUGUAGUUGCUCUCUUGUUAUCCCAGAACUUGAAUUACCAUAAGAAGUUGUGAAUUUCUAUUUGAUUGUAUGUAUUUUGAUUAUAUUUCAAGAUGGUUUAUCAUCUAGCAAACAGUCUAAUAGAGCAGAUUCAAACUUGCAAAAUAAAUGAAACCUGUAUAGUCUCUAAAAGUUUGUAUGCCCUAGAAGUUCACAUUGAAUUUCGAUGAAAACGACUCGCUUCCCUUCCAUCCAAUUGCUUGCGACUGUCUU
rnacentral:lncRNA from 1 species